AAGGAGAUAUUUUUGACAGUGAAAGAGGGUGUUGUUAGUAAUUAUAUCAGGACCAUGGCCUAAACCAGGACUAUCCCAGGCAGCCUGGGACAUAUUUGUACCCCAUCUCUAUUUAAUGCCUUUAUACAAUUCUUAAUUCUACCAGCCUUUAUUGAGCCUGCUUUCUUUGUCUAGCUGAGUGCCACGUGCUGACAUCACUAAGAUCAAUACAGCAAACUCUGAAAGAUGGACGGAGAGACAGGAGAUGGUCCUUUAUAAUGCAGUGUGAUCUGUGCUGCAAUAGAGAUGGAAGAGUGUUCUGAUCGGCUGGAAAACAACGCACAUGGGAAGCUGUACAGAAAUGAGUGGGGAAAGUUUUGGAAGCUAGAAGUUCAAAACGAGGUGUUGGCAGCACCAUGCUCUCUCUGAAGAUGCUAGGAAGAAUCUGCUCCAUGCCUUUCCAUUCGCUUCUGGGGUUUCCUGCAAGCCCUGACAUUCCUUGGCUUGUAGAUACACCACCCCAGUUUCCGCCCCCAUCAUCACAUGGCCUCCUCUCUGUGUGUGCCUCUGCGUUCCCUCUAUUCUUCUUCUAAGGACACCGACACCAGUCAUAGUGGAUUAAGGGUCCACUCCUAACCAAUUACAUCUGCAACAACCCUAUUUCCAAAUAAAGUCACAUUCUAAGAUUCCUAGGGAGAACAGGAAUUUUUGGGGGUGUGUGGAUACUGUUCAACCUGGGACAUGGAGUAAAUAAAUGGCAAGGAAGAUUACAGAUGACUUUAAGCUAAAGAGGGAGAUAGGGUUAAAUGUAGGACUUUUUUUUUUUCCAGGACGGGAGAGGUUUAAACAUGUUACUACAUUGAAUAAAUGAAAUAACCAUGGACAUGGAGUGGCUAAAGAUUCUGAACUAAGUGCAAGUAAUUGAUAGCGCAAGCUCCCAAGGGGCUGGGGCCUGGAGCGCAGAUGGAUGGAUCCACUGUGGGCAGAACUGGGGCGUGGGAGGGGUGUGCCGAUGCAGAUGUGUUUGAGUGUGGGGGGCCAGAAGCUGAUUGGGGCGAAGCGUGACAGUGCAGCUCCAAGCACG
rnacentral:lncRNA from 10 species